rnacentral:rRNA from 1 species
UACGUAGGGGGCAAGCGUUGUCCGGAUUCAUUGGGCGUAAAGAGCGUGUAGGCGGCUUGGCAAGUCGGAUGUGAAAGCCCACGGCUCAACCGUGGAAGCGCAUCCGAAACUGCUUCGCUCGAGUCUCGGAGAGGAAGGUGGAAUGCUUGGUGUAGAGGUGAAAUUCGUAGAUAUCAAGCAGAACACCUGCGGCGAAGGCGGCCUUCUGGACGAUGACUGACGCUGAGACGCGAAAGCGUGGGGAGCAAACAGG